GGAUUAGAUACCCUGGUAGUCCACGCAGUAAACGUUGUACACUAGGUGUAUCGGGUAUUAAAAUCUGAUGUGCCGCAGCUAACGCAUUAAGUGUACCGCCUGGGAAGUACGGUCGCAAGACUAAAACUCUAAGGAAUUGACGGGGGCCCGCACAAGCGGUGGAGCAUGUGGUUUAAUUCGAUGCAACGCGAAGAACCUUACCAUCCCUUGACAUCCAGAGAAUUUUCUAGAGAUAGAUUAGUGCCUUCGGGAACUCUGAGACAGGUGCUGCAUGGCUGUCGUCAGCUCGUGCCG
rnacentral:rRNA from 1 species